UACGAAGGGGGCGAGCGUUGUUCGGAUUUACUGGGCGUAAAGGGCGCGACAGGCGGCUCAUUUUGUCAGGCGUGAAAGCCCCGGGCUUAACCUGGGAACUGCGUUUGAUACGGAUGGGCUAGAGUUCGGGAGAGGAGAGUGGAAUUCCCAGUGUAGAGGUGAAAUUCGUAGAUAUUGGGAAGAACACCGGUGGCGAAGGCGGGUCUCUGGGCCGAUACUGACGCUGAGGAGCGAAAGCGUGGGGAGCGAACAGG
rnacentral:rRNA from 1 species